AUUGAACGCUGGCGGCAGGCCUAACACAUGCAAGUCGAGCGGAUCGGCGGACGGGGACGUCCUGCCUAGGACUGUGCAUGGUCGUGGGGGAUAACGUCCGGAACCGGGAGCUCUUACCGCUUACUAUCGGCUUAGCCUAGGUCGGAUUAGCAAGUGGGGGGGGUAAGGGCCUACCAAUGCGAAGAUCCGUAACUGGUCUGAGCGUAUGAUCAGUCACACUGGAACGGAGACACGGUCCAGACUCAUACGGUAGGCAGUAGUGGGGAAUAUUGGACAAUGGGCGAAAGCCUGAUCCAGCCAUGCCGCGUGUAUGAAGAAGGUCUUCGGAUUGUAAAGUACUUUAAGCGGGGAGGCGUUACCAACAGAAUAAGCACCGGCUAACUCCGUGCCAGCCGCCGCGGUAAUAC
rnacentral:rRNA from 1 species